GAUGAACGCUGGCGGCGUGCUUAACACAUGCAAGUCGAACGGAAAGGCUCCUGCUUGCAGGGGUACUCGAGUGGCGAACGGGUGAGUAACACGUGGGUGAUCUGCCCUGCACUUCGGGAUAAGCCUGGGAAACUGGGUCUAAUACCGGAUAGGACGAUGGUUUGGAUGCCAUUGUGGAAAGUUUUUUCGGUGUGGGAUGAGCUCUCGGCCUAUCAGCGUGUUGGUGGGGUAAUGGCCUACCAAGGCGUCGACGGGUAGCCGGCCUGAGAGGGUGUACGGCCACAUUGGGACUGAGGUACGGCCCAGACUCCUACGGGAGGCAGCAGUGGGGAAUAUUGCACAAUGGGCGCAAGCCUGAUGCAGCGACGCCGCGUGGGGGAUGACGGCCUUCGGGUUGUAAACUCCUUUCGCUAGGGACGAAGCGCAAGUGACGGUACCUGGAGAAGAAGCACCGGCUAACUACGUG
rnacentral:rRNA from 1 species